rnacentral:rRNA from 1 species
CACGUAGGGUGCGAGCGUUGUCCGGAAUUAUUGGGCGUAAAGAGCUCGUAGGCGGUGUGUCGCGUCGGCCGUGAAAACCUGCAGCUUAACUGUGGGCUUGCGGUCGAUACGGGCAUCACUGGAGUUCGGCAGGGGAGACUGGAAUUCCUGGUGUAGCGGUGAAAUGCGCAGAUAUCAGGAGGAACACCGGUGGCGAAGGCGGGUCUCUGGGCCGAUACUGACGCU